GAUUUUAGCAGUGUCCGACGCGGUAUCUCAUCACGAUCCCCGCACCUUUUUUGUUUGUUAACCUAAACUUUCCCUUCCCGCAGCAUCGCCUUUCCUCUCCGCAGCGCAACACGAUUUCUUCCAUCGCUGACAAGGAGGUCGUCGACAAGGAGGCAGGCGGUUGUUGCCUCACUGGCCACCUCUAGAGCAGUCGACCCUCAACCUUGUCGCCUGCCUCCUUGUCGGCGGCCUCCUCCCAUCGUAGCACGAUCUCCACCAGUCACCAUCGCGAUGCAGCCGUUGCCUCUCUUCUCUUGUAGGCGGUUCGCGAGCGGCUACUUGAACGGUGAUGUAACCCUUUCUUCCUCUCGUUGCGGCAAUCCACAAGAAGCUUUUAGUUCUAGGGAUUUCUUCGCGUGGCCUCGAGGUCGUUCAUGGCCACCUUGCACUUACGUGGCUCGUUCUUUGCUAACUAGAAUGCUACCCGCAACCUAGCUUCCUCCGCAACUCCUCCCACUGCCCGCGACCUAGCCUCCUCCACCACUCCUCCGCCCACUCAUCAUCAUCAGUUCUUCAACUGUUAGGAUCUAGCUAUGGCAGGGCUCUAUUGCCAUAGUGACCAUUUCAGGUUUGCAGAAUCAAAUCCUCCAAUCACGAACGAACUCAUUAAGGUGUCUUGGUGGGUUAUAACUCAAUGCAUGAAAUUGAUUUCUUGGUGCAUCGACUGCUUGAAUUUGCGAGAUAUGAUUCGGAUGACAUUCCAAUCCAGGUAGUGAAGUUUCACUUACUCUUUUCAUUUAUCCCACAUAAUUGGUUUAGCACAUUGAAAUUUUCUAACAUGCUUGGUUGUAGCACUGCAUUGCGCUUCACACACCUGAUAUAAUGUGGCUCUAUAAUAUGUUUCUGUUGUGCUCAAAGUUUCCACAAGCACUUGAAGUUGUUGUUGCUACAAAAUUCACUUAAAGAAUGAUUAGAAAUUGGAAAAAAAAAAUACUAAACAUGAAAUAUUUAUUUCUGUUCUUUAUACCUUGAAAUGAGUACCUAUGCAGGAGAAUUAGGAAGGAAAGGGAUUUGCUACAAAAGAAAGUAGAGCUUGUUGCUCUUCAACAACAUAUUCUCUCUUCUUAUUGAGGAACUGAUUAAUUUGGUAAGCAAUUCGUUUAAUAAUUCACACAUUCUUUAAGUUCCAAAUCACAAUAAAUCAGUUUAGAAUUAACAAUUUUCACCUUCUUUUUCUUGGGUCUUCGAGUUGAUUUUGGAAACAUACUUUGCACUCAGCAUGCUCUCUAGCCGAGGAAUCUUUGCCUACUCUAACAACUAGUCAAUCAUCGUGCUCUCGGACUUUUACGAUUUAAUGUUGUAAUUCUCUUGCAGUAGCUGAUUUCAAUUGUGCCAUCUAUAAGCAAAAUAAAUUCUGUCGAAAAGUAUAUUCAGGUCGACAAUCAUGAAUUUUGGUUCAUGGGGUUUCUGAACUACGACACUGUUGUGCACCAUCUGCACAAAGCUUUGCGCCAUAUGCAAAAGGAAGCAUCGUCGCAACUAUACAUCCAGAUAUUCUAAUCAUGUAACUUUUGCACUGGGCAAUAGACCUAGGGUUUUUCUUUGGUUCAUGUCAAUAUUUAUAUUGUUGUUUAGAAAAAUUGAUGAGCUUUGUAAAAUGAUUAUUAGAUGAAUAAAAAUUAUGUAUUCAUAUUUUGAUUUUA